AAUCAUGCAUGUCUCUACUAAAAAUAUUUGUAUCCUUCACUCUCAUAAUGCAUGAAACAAAAAUUAAGGAUGUUAAGUAAUAUUUAGGUUUUCUCCGAGGACUCUAAAAUUUUAUCCUUGAUAUAAACUAAUAGAUAUUAGAGUGUAUCAUUUUAUGGGAGAUCUAUGGAGGUCGUUGUGUAUUUUAAUUAUGUUAUGGUCCUUCUUCUAACAAAACAAGAUUCUUGUGUAUUAUUGGC
rnacentral:lncRNA from 1 species